AGCCACGUCACCAUCAUUAGCUUACGCAGAUCGUCGUCACCAUCAUCCACACGCUGUAUACUAGCGUGCCGAGAUAAGUGAAGGAUCAUUGACGAACGAGUGAUUGUAAAAUAAUAACAGAACACCCACCACCGAAUGCAGUUUUCGAAAUAGCCAUUUUCGCCGUUUUGUACCUGAAUAAGAGUCGUAAAAAUGAUGAUAAAAA